GGACUUUGCUCUGUAAUGCACCAAACACCUAAUUCUUACUUUAGUUAGUAAAAUCAAUUUGUAUACCACUAUUUGAAUUAUAAUAUACAAUUAUUAUUAGAAUAUAAUUUAUAUUAUAAAUUAAGUCAAGGUGCAGUAAAAAUUAAAGAAUGAAGUGAAUUACGUUUCUUUUUAGAAGAAAAAAAUGAAAAAUUAUUUCGCAUUUGAAAGUGAAAUUAAAAUAGUAUGUUAAUUUGAAUUUAGCUCUAAGAUAUGUACACGUCGCCCGUCGCUCUAAUUAAAAUAAGAAACCGUACCCUAGUGACAAUGACGUCCAGCCCUC
rnacentral:rRNA from 1 species